GGUUUAAUCCUUAGCACCACAUAAAAAUAAAAAUAUUGUGUCAUCUAUAACUAAAAAAUAAACAAAAAAGUAUAUUAGUUGAAUGAUUGAAUUAGUCCUGAAAUAUUAGGUCAUUGUCCUCUCCCACACCCCCUGCUCUGAAUUAGCUAAGCCCCAAGGCAGAGGAACUAAUCCAAGAUGGAGAGAACUAAAAAAAAAAAAAGAAUUUUGGUCUCAGAACUGUUCAAGGAUGUGAUACAUAUAACACAGAUAAGGACUCUCCCUCAGGAAAACUGAACACGAAGCAUAUCAUCCUAAGUGGGAUGAGCAAAGGGUACCAUGACAACAGCAGUGCAGGACCAGGCCUGACCUGGUUGGUGAGGCUGGGUGUCCUACACGGGCUUCUUCAAAGACUUUAAGCUGAGCAUGCCAGAAAAGUGGAAACAAUCUCUGGAAGAAACACUGUGAUGAAACGUCGAGACCCAGAGAGAAAAUGGAACAUUUCAGGAGAGAUGAUGAAGAACACAGAUACCUCACUCAGAAUAGAGAAGAGAGGUGAGCUAUAAUCAGAAAGGAGAGACCUGAAACCCAACACGACAAAGUCAACAGAUAUCAAGCAAGAAACGGGACUGAGGAUUUGGUACUGAGUGCCAUGGAGGCAGGACAGCUCCACAGGUACCUGCUCCACCCAAGACUUGUGAUGCCCGAAGCCUGCUAAGGAACAGGAAGUGGCACCAGUGCCAGCUGCUGUCCCAGAAGACACUCUCCACACAAUGCCCUCAGGAGCCCAGCACACCCAGCACUUUGGCCCUGGGCCAAGCCUCAUCCCCUCCCUCCCUCCCAAGUCUCCUGUCAGAGGCAAGUGGGUCAAGACCCUGUGCAGAAACACUGACCUGAAUAUACCACUUCUGUCUGCCAGUAAUUGAAAGCAGCGAUCCAGGCCUCAAAGUGAUGGGCCUGCCAGGAGGCCACGUGCUGUAGCCCAGGCCCCGCUUCAUUCACCUUCAGGAAGUGCAGCUGCCCCUUGGAGUUGCUGCUGAUGAUUUUCAAGGGCUGGUCACUGGCCCUAGACAUGUAGAACCGAUGGAGAAGCCCAAUGAGCACACUCACCACCCUCUUCUGGUUCACAACCAAGUCCCAGGAUUGGUAGUGAUGUUCCCAAAUACAGGAAUCAAGGCUCAAAACUCUCUCUGGCCUGAAAAUAGGAAAUUCAAUUAUCAGAGGAAUGACUUGAGGCCCUCCUGGCACUUACCU